rnacentral:miRNA from 1 species
GGUUCCCAGAGAGCUGGUAGACUAUGGAACACAGGCUUGAGAGUCUGGCCUAUGUCACAUAGUCCACUAGCUCUCGGUAGCCA